rnacentral:tRNA from 1 species
GCGGAUUUAGCUCAUUUGGUAGAGUGCCACCUUCCCAAGGUGGAUGUGGCGAGUUCGAGCCUCGUAAUCCGCU